UCAAAACACCGAUUCCUGUACAAACACCGAAGUUAAGCAGCCUCGAAUGUGGUCAGUACUUCGAUGGGUGACCGCUUGAUAAUACCAUGUGUUGUAAG